rnacentral:rRNA from 1 species
AUUUUGCGAGUGAAGGCGGCCAACAGCUCAAAUUGAAAUCUGGCCCCUUUGGGUCCGAAUUGUAAUUUGGAGAAGGUGUUUCGGGUGCGACGGCGGCUCAAGUCCCUUGGAACAGGGCGUCGUAGAGGGUGAGAAUCCCGUAUGUGGCCGACUGUCUAUCCCAUGUGAAGCCCUUUCGACGAGUCGAGUUGUUUGGGAAUGCAGCUCUAAAUGGGUGGUAAAUUUCAUCUAAAGCUAAAUAUCUGCCGGAGACCGAUAGCGCACAAGUAGAGUGAUCGAAAGAUGAAAAGCACUUUGAAAAGAGAGUCAAAAAGUACGUGAAAUUGUUGAAAGGGAAGCGCUUGCAACCAGACUCGUUUGCGGGGGCUCAAUCGUUCUUCGGGACGGUGUACUCCCCCGUAACCGGGCCAGCAUCGGUUCUGACGGCUGGACAAAGGCCUUGGGAAUGUAGCUCUCCCCGGAGAGUGUUAUAGCCCGGGGUAUAAUGCAGUCUGCUGGGACCGAGGACCGCGCUUUUGCUAGGAUGCUGGCGUAAUGGUUGCCAGCGACCCGUCUUGAAACACGGACCAAGGAGUCAACCAAUUGUGCGAGUGUUUGGGUGUAAAACCCAUGCGCGUAAUGAAAGUGAACGUGGGUGGGAGCCUUCGGGCGCACCAUCGACCGAUCUUGAUGUUUUCGGAUGGAUUUGAGUACGAGCAUUAUCGGUUGGACCCGAAAGAUGGUGAACUAUGCGUGAAUAGGGUGAAGCCAGAGGAAACUCUGGUGGAGGCUCGCAGCGGUUCUGACGUGCAAAUCGAUCGUCAAAUUUGCGCAUAGGGGCGAAAGACUAAUCGAACCAUCUAGUAGCUGGUUCCUGUCGAAGUUUCCCUCAGGAUAGCAGCAACGAAAAACAGUCUCAUGAGGUAGAGCGAACGAUUAGAGGCCUGGGGGCAGAAACUGCCUUCACCUAUUCUCGAACUUCGAAUAUGUGAGAAGUCCUUGUUACUUAAUUGAACGUGGACAUUUGGAUGGUCGUUGAGCCA